rnacentral:misc_RNA from 1 species
AACUAUCAAGCCGGGAUGCUUUCUUGCUUCCUGGCUUGGUUUAUUGGGCUUUGCCGUGCCCUUCAUUGGGGACGGCUGGCCUUAAAAGCAUUAGCUGACUCCAUGUGGUUAUUGGUAUUCUACUUGGCGUGAUAAUAAUCUGACCGCUGAGGAAGUGUCCUUUCGGGGAUGGCCAAUUUUCGUGUGGGGUUGCUUCUAAUCUCUGGAGCUCCUGUUCCAUUUUCAA